CCUAUGGGACGCAGCAGUGGGGAAUAUUGCGCAAUGGACGAAAGUCUGACGCAGCGACGCCGCGUGAGGGAUGAAGGUUUUCGGAUCGUAAAGCCCUGUCAGCGGGGAAGAAGAAAGACGGUACCCGACCAAGAAGCCCCGGCUAACUACGUGCCAGCAGCCGCGGUAAUACGUAGGGGGCGAGCGUUAUCCGGAAUUACUGGGUGUAAAGGGAGCGUAGACGGCGAGGUAAGCCUGAAGUGGAAGCCCGCGGCCCAACCGCGGAACUGCUUUGGGAACUGUUUUGCUGGAGUAUGGGAGGGGUA
rnacentral:rRNA from 1 species